UUAUGCUCCAGUCUACUUUGUGCAGUGCUCUCCUUCAGAAAGAUGCAAUCAUUUAUGUUUGAAUAUGAUUGCAUCCUCUGAGGGAGAGCAAGACAUAACAUGUACAACAUAUGAAUC
rnacentral:precursor_RNA from 13 species